CCUACGGGAGGCAGCAGUGGGGAAUUUUGGACAAUGGGCGCAAGCCUGAUCCAGCCAUGCCGCGUGCGGGAAGAAGGCCUUCGGGUUGUAAACCGCUUUUGUCAGGGAAGAAAUCCUUUGAGCUAAUACCUCGGAGGGAUGACGGUACCUGAAGAAUAAGCACCGGCUAACUACGUGCCAGCAGCCGCGGUAAUACGUAGGGUGCGAGCGUUAAUCGGAAUUACUGGGCGUAAAGCGUGCGCAGGCGGUUAUGCAAGACAGAUGUGAAAUCCCCGGGCUUAACCUGGGAACUGCAUUUGUGACUGCAUAGCUCGAGUACGGCAGAGGGGGAUGGAAUUCCGCGUGUAGCAGUGAAAUGCGUAGAUAUGCGGAGGAACACCGAUGGCGAAGGCAAUCCCCUGGGCCUGUACUGACGCUCAUGCACGAAAGCGUGGGGAGCAAACAGGAUUAGAUACCCUGGUAGUCCACGCCCUAAACGAUGUCAACUGGUUGUUGGACGGCUUGCUGUUCAGUACGAAGCUAACGCGUGAAGUUGACCGCCUGGGGAGUCGGCCGCAAGGUUGAACUCAAAGAUAGUGCGNGNGAGAGCGACGACGACGACGAGGAGGAGG
rnacentral:rRNA from 1 species